rnacentral:rRNA from 1 species
GACGAACGCUGGCGGCGUGCUUAACACAUGCAAGUCGAACGGCAAGGCCCUGCUUUUGUGGGGUGCUCGAGUGGCGAACGGGUGUGUAACACGUGAGUAACCUGCCCUUGACUUUGGGAUAACUUCAGGAAACUGGGGCUAAUACCGGCUAGGAGCUCCUGCUGCCUGGUGGGGGUUGGAAAGUUUCGGCGGGUGGGGAUGGACUCGCGGGUUAUCAGCUUGUUGGGGGGGUAGUGGCUUACCAAGGCUUUGACGGGUAGCCGGCCUGAGAGGGUGACCGGCCACAUGGGGACUGAGAGACGGCGCAGACUCCUACGGUAGGCAGCAGUGGCGAAUAUUGCACAAUGGGCGGAAGCCUGAUGCAGCAACGCCGCGUGCGGGAUGAGGGCCUUCGGGUUGUAAACCGCUUUCGCCUGUGACGAAGGGUGAGUGACGGUAAUGGGUAAAGAAGCACCGGCUAACUACGUG